AGAGUUUGAUCCUGGCUCAGGAUGAACGCUGGCGGCGUGCCUAAUACAUGCAAGUCGAGCGAACCACUUCGGUGGUGAGCGGCGAACGGGUGAGUAACACGUAGGUUAUCUGCCCAUCAGACGGGGACAACGAUUGGAAACGAUCGCUAAUACCGGAUAGGACGAAAGUUUAAAGGUGCUUCUGGCACCGCUGAUGGAUGAGCCUGCGGCGCAUUAGCUAGUUGGUAGGGUAAAGGCCUACCAAGGCGACGAUGCGUAGCCGACCUGAGAGGGUGAACGGCCACACUGGGACUGAGACACGGCCCAGACUCCUACGGGAGGCAGCAGUAGGGAAUCUUCGGCAAUGGGCGAAAGCCUGACCGAGCAACGCCGCGUGAAUGAUGAAGGCCUUCGGGUUGUAAAAUUCUGUUAUAAGGGAAGAAUGGCUCUAGUAGGAAAUGGCUAGAGUGUGACGGUACCUUAUGAGAAAGCCACGGCUAACUACGUGCCAGCAGCCGCGGUAAUACGUAGGUGGCGAGCGUUAUCCGGAAUUAUUGGGCGUAAAGAGCGCGCAGGUGGUUGAUUAAGUCUGAUGUGAAAGCCCACGGCUUAACCGUGGAGGGUCAUUGGAAACUGGUCAACUUGAGUGCAGAAGAGGGAAGUGGAAUUCCAUGUGUAGCGGUGAAAUGCGUAGAGAUAUGGAGGAACACCAGUGGCGAAGGCGGCUUCCUGGUCUGUAACUGACACUGAGGCGCGAAAGCGUGGGGAGCAAACAGGAUUAGAUACCCUGGUAGUCCACGCCGUAAACGAUGAGUGCUAGGUGUUAGGCCCUUUCCGGGGCUUAGUGCCGCAGCUAACGCAUUAAGCACUC
rnacentral:rRNA from 1 species